GAGCUCCUGGAAAGAAGUGGGCACAAUGCUGUGGAGCAGGGGUGGCCCAGAUGGGCUGGAUUAUCCCGGGUUUGGGCAGUGGUGUGGCUGGAUGGCUUUGCCUCCCAGGGAGCCAGGCACGUGAUGGUGCCCACAUUCCUGACCUGCUGGUGGUUUCCCAACGUGAGUGUCCAGGCUGGAGUUGCCAGUGAGACCAGCGAGGCCAUUCCUGCACAGUCCCAAGGAGCAGCCGGGACAGAGAACACACCCUACUCUCGUCAAAACACCCCACGGGGAGGGGGUUUUGCUUCAAAUCGACCCCCCCCCCCCAGCAACUUUGGUGCUCGCUGGGAAGCAGAGAAGUUCGUCGUGGCACAGGGCUCAGCUCAUGCUUCUGUGAGCACUCCCUGGCACAGCAAUGCACCCCCUGCUCAGCCAUGGGCACCCCAGGCCAGGCUGACCCAACUCAUGACUGCUUUAUGAUGCGUGAGAAAGAUAGGAUUUCUUUGAUUAAAAAUAAAAUAAAAAUGAUAAAAGAAUCAAACCCCAAACCAAGAA